rfam:Tritrichomonas foetus strain K scaffold_869, whole genome shotgun sequence.
CCGCUCUUAGCUCAGUGGUAGAGCAUGUGACUGUAGAAAACAGUUGGUCAUCACAGGGUCGCCGGUUCGAUUCCAGCAGCGCGGA